rnacentral:rRNA from 1 species
GACGAACGCUGGCGGCGUGCUUAACACAUGCAAGUCGAACGGAAAGGCCCUGCUUUUGUGGGGUGCUCGAGUGGCGAACGGGUGAGUAACACGUGAGUAACCUGCCCUUGACUUUGGGAUAACUUCAGGAAACUGGGGCUAAUACCGGAUAGGAGCUCCUGCUGCAUGGUGGGGGUUGGAAAGUUUCGGCGGUUGGGGAUGGACUCGCUGGUUAUCCGCUUGUUGGGGGGGUAGUGGCUUACCAAGGCUUUGACGGGUAGCCGGCCUGAGAGGGGUGACGGCCACAUUGGGACUGAGAGACGGCCCAGACUGCUACGGGAGGCAGCAGUGGGGAGUAUGGCACAAUGGGCGGAAGCCUGAUGCAGCAACGCCGCGUGCGGGAUGACGGCCUUCGGGUUGUAAACCGCUUUCGCCUGUGACGAAGCGUGAGUGACGGUAAUGGGUAAAGAAGCACCGGCUAACUACGUG